rnacentral:rRNA from 1 species
CCUAGUACGGCGAGUGAAGCGGCAACAGCUCAAAUUUGAAAGCUAGGCCUUCGGGUUCGCAUUGUAAUUUGUAGAGGAUGAUUUGGGGAAGCCGCCUGUCUAAGUUCCUUGGAACAGGACGUCAUAGAGGGUGAGAAUCCCGUAUGUGACAGGAAAUGGCACCCUAUGUAAAUCUCCUUCGACGAGUCGAGUUGUUUGGGAAU